rnacentral:lncRNA from 1 species
CAGUUGAAGGAGAAAAUCCGAUUCAGAUCGGAUCUCCAGGGUGCAUUUGAACAAUUCUUAUUCUAAAAUUUUUAUAAUCUUUAUGAUUAUCUGAUAUGCAAUGAAGAUGGGAUCAAGAUUCUCAAGGGUUUCUUGAAUCAGAUGCCUCACAAGAUCUGAAAGUACAGACCCUCUACUUCUCACGCAUGCCAGGCACCACAGGAAAGAGAGAUGUUCCUUGGGAUGUCACUCCUUCGGAAGUAUAGCAAGGGAGGG